GGACUACUGGGGUUUCUAAUCCUGUUUGCUCCCCACGCUUUCGCGUCUCAGCGUCAGUAACGUCCCAGUGAGCUGCCUUCGCCAUUGGUGUUCCUCCUGAUAUCUGCGCAUUUCACCGCUACACCAGGAAUUCCACUCACCUCUUCCGUACUCUAGCUCGACAGUUUCCACCGGCAUUUCAGGGUUGAGCCCUGAACUUUCACAGCGGACUUAUCGAGCCGCCUACACGCGCUUUACGCCCAAUGAUUCCGGACAACGCUUGCCCCCUACGUAUUACCGCGGCGGCUGGCAC
rnacentral:rRNA from 1 species